UACGUAGGGGGCAAGCGUUGUCCGGAUUUAUUGGGCGUAAAGAGCGUGUAGGCGGUUUGGUAGGUCCGUUGUGAAAACUCGAGGCUCAACCUCGAGACGCCGAUGGAAACCAGCAGACUAGAGUCCGGAAGAGGAGAGUGGAAUUCCUGGUGUAGCGGUGAAAUGCGCAGAUAUCAGGAAGAACACCCGUGGCUAAGGCGGCUCUCUAGUACGGUACUGACGCUGAGACGCGAAAGCGUGGGGAGCGAACAGG
rnacentral:rRNA from 1 species